UACGUAGGGAGCAAGCGUUGUUCGGAUUUACUGGGCGUAAAGGGCGCGUAGGCGGCAAUUCAAGUCAUCUGUGAAAUCUCCGGGCUUAACUCGGAACGGUCAGAUGAUACUGCUUUGCUAGAGUGCAGAAGGGGCAAUCGGAAUUCUCGGUGUAGCGGUGAAAUGCGCAGAUAUCGGGAAGAACACCCGUGGCGAAGGCGGCUCUCUGGGACGGUACUGACGCUGAGACGCGAAAGCGUGGGGAGCGAACAGG
rnacentral:rRNA from 1 species